CUGCUCACUUCAGCAGCACAUAUACUAAAAUUGGAAGGAUACAGAGAAGAUUAGUAUGACCCCUGCACAAGGCUGACAUGCAAAUUCAUGAAAGUGUUCCAUAUUUUU
rnacentral:snRNA from 1 species